AUGGCCUGCAAACCAAGGCAUCAGUAAUACAAAGGGAACGUUUAACAUGGAUAUUUGACUCAAAGUGUCACACUAAACUAUGACGCUAGAUAAGUUAUCCAAGUGGCAUAACGUAUUACGAUUCGCAAACAAGUGAAUGACUGUGGAAACACAUUUCGUCUUUAUUUCGUCUUUAAACUAUGUCAGCGCAAUUAGAUAAGCUAUCUGCCUGAAAUGUACUUCAGGUGAAAACGUUGGCGUUCUAAAGGAAGGCGUUCAUUUCUGAAAUGAAGACCAUAUUGUCCAUUUUGGCAUGUUGUGUUUUAUUUGCCUUUAUACACGUGGAAGCUGCAACAGAUAUGGAUUCUCAAUCAUUGCUUGCCAGGCUCUCUGUGCUUGAAGUAAAACAAGCGUUUUCCGAGAAAUUAAUCGCAGCGCGUGAAACGGAAAAUAAGAUGUCAAAGAAAAUAAUAUAAGACAUUGUCCGACAGAAGAUUCGCUUCGCUUGAAAGAACAAAUGUAUUAUGUAACAGACGAAAAGUUGAACUUGAUAGUAUAAAGGAACUUCAUGCAAAACAAGUCACGACAUUGACAACAUAUUGCCUGACAAAACCAAUACAACGAAUGGAUGCAACAAUACCAUGUCUGACAAAAAAGUCGCUUCGAUUGUUAAGGAAAGAAUACUGUCUAACUGGAAAAGCGCCACGCCUGAGAACGACAAUGCAGUAUCAUCCGACCGGAGUGGCAAAGAUGAAAGAUACACGGCUUUUGGUGAAAUUGCAGAUCGGCCAAUUUCUGUACUUCAAUCCAAACACAGACGAUUGGUUGCAGAAGGGAUUGUAGCAUUUUCUGCAAUGUAAAUAGCUAACCAAGAGCAUAUUGGCCUUAAUCAAAACAUCAUCUUUGAGAAUGUACUGACGAAUGAAGGAGGUGGGUUCCAUGCAAAUCACGGUGUUUUGAUUGUUCCACAGUCCGGCUUGUAUAUGAUCUCCUCGAGCAUUAUGUGUGCCGAGAAUGGGGAGGUUCGGGCUACCAUGGUUCAUAACGGAAACCUCGUUGCGCGCGUGUAUUGUCAUGGGGACGGUGGAAAAUACGAUCAAGGCAGUCAGACGGUUGUCAUACAGCUGAACGCUGGAGAUGAAGUCGCGGUUCAAAGUGGUGAAUUUGUAGAUGAUAAGGUCUGGCGAUUUGUGUAUUCGUCAUUCAGUGGUUACUUAGUAUGGCCGCAAUAAACAAAGGGUUACCGUUAUAGGAUACCAACUAUAUACGUAUUCAUUGACCCAUGCAAAUAAAACAAGCUAUGCAAA